AAUAGAUACCCAGGUAGUCCACGCCGUAAACGAUGAGUGCUAAGUGUUAGAGGGUUUCCGCCCUUUAGUGCUGCAGCUAACGCAUUAAGCACUCCGCCUGGGGAGUACGGCCGCAAGGCUGAAACUCAAAGGAAUUGACGGGGGCCCGCACAAGCGGUGGAGCAUGUGGUUUAAUUCGAAGCAACGCGAAGAACCUUACCAGGUCUUGACAUCCUCUGCCAACCCUAGAGAUAGGGCGUUCCCCUUCGGGGGACAGAGUGACAGGUGGUGCAUGGUUGUCGUCAGCUCGUGUCGUGAGAUGUUGGGUUAAGUCCCGCAACGAGCGCAACCCUUGAUCUUAGUUGCCAGCAUUUAGUUGGGCACUCUAAGGUGACUGCCGGUGACAAACCGGAGGAAGGUGGGGAUGACGUCAAAUCAUCAUGCCCCUUAUGACCUGGGCUACACACGUGCUACAAUGGAUGGUACAAAGAGCUGCGAACCCGCGAGGGUAAGCGAAUCUCAUAAAGCCAUUCUCAGUUCGGAUUGUAGG
rnacentral:rRNA from 1 species